rnacentral:rRNA from 1 species
GACAGAGGUUGCAAACGUUGUUCGGAAUCACUGGGCAUAAAGCGCACGUAGGCGGUCUGUUAAGUCAAGUGUGAAAGCCCCCGGCUCAACCCUGGAAGUGCACUGGAAACUACGAAGCUUGAGUCCUGGAGAGGAGAGCGGAAUUCCCGGUGUAGAGGUGAAAUUCGUAGAUAUCGGGAGGAACACCAGUGGCGAAGGCGGCUCUCUGGACAGGUACUGACGCUGAGACGCGAAAGCGUGGGUAGCAAACAGG